GUGCCAGCCGCCGCGGUAAUACCGGCAGCCCAAGUGAUGGCCGCUGUUAUUGGGCCUAAAGCGUCCGUAGCUGGCCGCACAAGUCCGUCGGGAAAUCCGCCCGCUCAACGGGCGGCCGUCCGGCGGAACCUGUGUGGCUUGGGACCGGGAGGCCUGAGGGGUACGAUCGGGGUAGGAGUGAAAUCCUGUAAUCCUGGACGGACCGCCGGUGGCGAAAGCGCCUCGGGAGGACGGACCCGACAGUGAGGGACGAAAGCCAGGGUCUCGAACCGGAUUAGAACCCGAGUGUCC
rnacentral:rRNA from 1 species